GUAAGCUCCAUACCAAUUCUUACUUUUGACAAAUAAUAUUGUGUUUUAUUUGUCCCAUUAGUCUCAAUAUCACUAACGUAAUAUGUAGAUAGAAGAAGUUAAUAACACGGAAAAAACUCUAAAAUAAUCAGAGUACAAUCACGUGAAGGAUCUUGGUUUGGAUGAAUAUGGAAAUGUCUUACAUUGCUGACGGCCUUGUUGACAAAUCGCAAGCCAGAGAGGCAGCUGGUUUGGUGGUGGAUUUGAUCAGGUCUAAACGUAUGGCUGGAAGGGCUGUGUUGUUUGGUGUUCCACUAGGAACUUGCAAAACUGCCCUCGCCAUGGCUAUUGCUCAAGAUUUACUCAAAAAGGUGGGAUCAGAAGUCAAAAGUACUGAGUAAAAGGAAAACUAUGGUUUUGAUGGAAAACUUUCGUAGAGCUAUUGUACUUUGAAUCAACAAAAAGAAUUUUAUGAAGGAGAAAUCAUUGAACUUACCCCAGUUGAAACUGAGAAUAAAUGGGUGGUAUGGAUGUGGCAGAACUGUUAGUCAUGUUUAAACAUUUUACUGGAAGUAUCUAUAUAUAUAUUUGUCUUAGUACAGUUACAGUGGCGUGAUAAUUAAUGGCGCAAUAACAAUUUGUUGUUUUCUCAAUUGUCACGUAAUAGGAGCCAGUUCCGGUAUGAUGGUCCCCGUUCCGGGAACGAGAGCCAUGCCGCCUGGUGAAGGCGUCAAGAAAGGACGCAAAGCCAAACCGGAUGAAUAUCCAGAAACAAGAGGUGGUGGUGGAGCUCCACAGAUGUCUUGGCUCAUAGUAAACUUGACUUCCUACUCUCCAUGACCCACGAAUAAAAUGAAAUUAUCAAAGAAGCAAUAUGGAUUUUUUAAUAUAAGUUCACAUAUAUUUUACAAAAACGAAAGGGAUGCUUCUAGCAUAGACGUAUUAAUAAAUGCUUCUGUCAAUUCACUAA